GACGGGGGGUCCUAGCGUUGUUCGGAAUUAUUGGGCGUAAAGCGUGUGCAGGUUGUUUGAAAAGUUGGAUGUGAAAUCCUUGGGCUUAACCCAAGACGUGCAUUCAAAACUGUCAGACUUGAGUAUGGAAGAGGAUCGUGGAAUUCCUAGUGUAGUGGUGAAAUACGUAGAUAUUAGGAGGAACACCGGUGGCGAAGGCGGCGAUCUGGUCCAAUACUGACACUCAUACACGAAAGCGUGGGGAUCAAACAGG
rnacentral:rRNA from 1 species